UUCUGUAAACCCUUUUCAGUUUCACCGCUCUCAAUUUUGGGAAAAAUUGAACAUCCCGCUCAAAGAAGAGAGAAACUGUGGUUCAAAGAAGAAGAAGAUUGUUGAUUUCUUCACCAAGAAGAAGAAGAAGAAGAGUUUGCUGAUUUUCCUUCGAUUUCAACACAACACAGGAAGCAUGAAAACCCCCGCUUCAGUUUUCUACAGAAACCCCGUGAAGUUCAGAAUGCCAACGGCGGAGAAUCUGGUCCCAAUUCGAUUGGACAUUGAAAUCGACGCUAAGAGGUACAAAGAUGCCUUCACAUGGAACCCUUCCGAUCCUGAUCACGAGGUGGGUGUCUUUGCAAGACGUACUGUUAAAGACCUAAAGCUUCCUCCUCCUUUUGUUACUCAGAUUGCUCAAUCAAUUGAAUCUACUGUUGAGUUUAUGUAUGUUGGGCUUGUGUUAUAUCAGUCACAGCUAGCUGAAUUUCGGUCGUAUGAAGGCCAGGAUAUGUAUGCUGGAGAGAAAAUUAUUCCCAUCAAGCUUGAUCUUUGUGUAAAUCAUAUGCUGGUAAAGGACCAGUUUCUAUGGGACUUGAACAACUUUGAGAGUGAUCCUGAAGAGUUAGCUAGAAUCUUCUGCAAAGACAUGGGUAUUGAGGAUCCUGAAGUUGGGUGCCCUCGUCAGACUAAUAGUGUUGAUUGCGGAUAUUAUGUGAUAAAGUUCAUGAAAGAUAUCAUCACUCACCAACAACUUGUGAUCCCAACGAAAUAUUUUGAAGAUAAUUGUUUGGGAAAGGGCAUUGCAGGAGCAAAACAACAAGCUAACAAAGCUCCCCAGAAAACACUUGCAAAUGUUCUUCCACCUCCAACUUAUAUUCUUCAAAGCUAAAGACACCAAAAAGACAAUUUCCUUCUCUAACUCACAGGAAUGCAGGUUUUUGAGAACUUAUCAUGCAUAAUCUGAAUGCUAUUGGAAGAUGCCGGCUAAAAGAGCUCGGAUCAAAACAAGAGUCAUUGCCUCUUCCUUCUCCUCUCCUCAAUUUGACCGCUCCCGCUUCCUUUCUCACAAGAAGGAAGAGUUUUACUAGAAUGUGCUUGCACGCAAGGAGUGUGUGAAGGAGUGAGGAGUAUUCUAUAGAAAGGGGAGGAGAGACCCCCUCGGCAUGCAAGAAGUCAUGGAGAUAAGAAGGUGGGGGAAUUGGGUGAAUCCCAUUCCUAUUGCUUGUGAAGUCAUGGUUAGGGAAUUCUUUGCGAAUGCGUACUAUGAUGAUCAAGAUAACAAACCGGAUGCCCCGACUUUCUCGUCUUCGUUCAGAGGUGAUGUCAUCGAUUAUGGAGCUGAGAGGAUUCGAGAGUUUCUUGGCCUUCUCACGGAGCAUGAGGAGAAUGCUCUUUUUCCACGGAGGAGUAGGAGUACCUUCCAUUAUUUGCUUUCGGACCGUUCUUCGGAGUUCCUGAAGGAUCUGGAAGUAGUGGUGGUUAGGCCCAGUCAAAAAUGGGAAGAGGAUGACAAAGGGAAUAUCACUUAUUUGCUGAGGCAAAACAUGACACCGCUGGCUCGAGUAUGGGCUGCAUUUUUCCAAGAUUCAUUGUUUCCUAGCUCUCACAAAUCAGAAGUGAGGACGGUGGUGUUGAUUGUCAUUUACCGCAUCAUUAGAGGCCAUCCAAUGGAUGUGGCGAGGAUUAUUUCUGACAAGAUUUACUCACACUACAAUGUGGGUAAGGAGAGGCCUCGACCCAUCUUUCCUCAUCUGAUUUGUGCCUUGAUCCAUGAUGUCAGAGACAAGGCUAGGAGACCAAUCUUUUUUGUGCAGAAGAGGUUGACGAUUACCCCCAUUCUGAACAAGGAUUGGGUGAACCAACUUUUUAAGGAAUGGAUGUCUAGGAUGCCUCAAGAGUAAGAAGAGAAAGAUGAUCCUACAGAGCCAGCAGAAGAGGAAGAAGAAUAGGAGGAGGAGAACGAGGUUGUAAGUGAGGUGGUAACUCCACCGCGUGCUAGUCCUUCACCUGCUUGGAUGGAGGCCUCCUUCGGACGUAUGUUCUAGAGACAAGAUCGCCUUCAUAGGGAUCUUGAUCUCCAUGGGAGGGGCGGUAGCACGUCGGAUCCCAGGUAUAAUGGCCCAAUGGAUUUUAAUACAUUAGAGAAAGGAAUGAUUGAUCUGAGCCUAAUGCAUGAUGUCGAAAUUCAUCCGGAGUAUGAUGAUGGGAGGGGCAAUCAAGGCCCCAUGGAGUGAUUUGUGAUGAGGUAAUUCUACUCUUAGAUAGGUAAUGCAUUUUGAUCAUGUUUUUCAUUUGUAGCUUUGUUUUUCUUUUUCUCAUGCAUUUUGUAGUUAGCUUUGUUUAUUUUGUUGGGUCUAUUGCUUCUCUAUACUCACAUGUUGUUGCCCGCAAGUUUCGCUCUUGUACUUGUGCUGAUUUUGAAAAUUGGUUUUAUGGACACUUAAGUUGUUUUGGGGGAUGAGUGAUUGCAUGCUUGGGAAAGAGAGGAGGAGACUUCGGUCUUCCGAGUGUUUCUUGAGAAUAGGUUCGUGUGAGUCCAUUAAGGGUUUAUCUUUGACCCUUCACCAUAAAAAUUCCCUAGAGGAUCCUGACUCACUUGUACUUCUUGGUUCUGCGUUGAUUUCACUCAUUGCAUGCUUUGUGAUACUUGCCUGAUUCUUGAGACUUUUAGGACUUUGAGCUUCUGAGUUUAUUGGCUUGAACAUUAUCCUUAGUUGUCCCAUUUGAGCCUUAAUGGAGAUUUUGUUGUUGCCAAGUUAUUGGGAUGGAUGUUAGGUUGGAAAUUCGGGGAGUGCUGGUCCUUGAAAUUGUUUGGAGCUAGAUGAAUUUUGAAGUAGUCUCUUGGCCCAAAUGAAAAUUGAAAAAAUAGAAAAAAGAAAAAAAAAACUCCUAAUCAAAUUGGAGUUAAAAAAGAAAAAAAAAAAGAUAAAAGUUGAGAAAGGGGUCAAGGGACUUGUGUUUAUUUUGCUGGUUGUAAAAGCUUCAGGGUACUUAAUUUAGACCACACUCAGUAUACUUUGAAAACCUAGUCAUCCUUAGGGACCAACUACCGGCAUAUUUAACCAAGCCAACAUUUCAACCCUCUUUAAAGUCUCUUCGAAUUUGUGCCAGUUUGAUCUCUGUUGCCUUUGAGUGAUUGAUACCCAGAACCUAUGAACUACUUGUGUGCUUAGUGCACUUUAUCAAUGUCUCAUCUAAGGAGUUUAGAUCUAUAUGCUUUCCAUGAAUGGACUCUACACUCUUCUCUAUUUGAAAGUUGCAUGAAGUUGGUUGUCGAAUCUUUAUCUUGGAACCGGCUGUAGUUUCUCUAUCCCCCUGUUUUGUGGUUAGUAUUUGUUGAGGCACUUGUCUUGGGAGCAUUUCUUGCGCUUGAGGGCAAGCGAGUGCUUUUUACGCUCGACAGCGAGCUGUCGAUGAGUAUAGUGGUGUGAUGACCAUCUUUUAGUAGUGUUUUUAGGGUCAUUUCUUUGAGAGUUUUGAGUAUUUUUCUUUGUCGCAUGUAGUGUUUCAUGCAUUCUCAUGCAUUUUUAUCUUUAAUUGAGUUUUAGUUAGGUUUUAGUAAUUAUGUAGUUUUAUAAGGGUCUUUCUUGCAUUUUUAUAGAGUUUAGGACUUGCAUUUGUUUUCCAUGGAAUUGUGAGGACUAUUGUGCUUAAAAGCCCUUUGAAUUUCUUGAUAUUUUUCCUUAUCUUGGUCCUUAAGUGUUUCAGUAGGUAACUCAUGAAGAGGGAAGUCCAAAAAGCUUGAAGAAUUGAUGAAAACAUUCAAAGGGCCAAAAAGCCACCAGAAAUGUGUGUCCGGCGCUCAAGCGCCCAUGUUUGGCGCCUGAGCGCCAGCCGUCCAGAUGGGAAUGUUCUGCUUCUACCAUAUGGGCGCUCAAGCGCCCCAAGGCAGUGCUUGAGCGCCCUGGCUCGACCAUUUUUCCUAUAAAUAAGGCCUUGGGCCAUUUUGUUCAGAACUUAUGACUUUUUCUUAUAAUCUUACCAAGGAUUGAAGCUUAGGAAGUGCUUUUGGGGCUUGUGGGAAGCUUCCACCUUGUAUUUUCCAGGUUUUCUUUACAUUUUUUGUAUGGAUUUCCUAGCCAUGAGUGGCUAGUUUACUUAUUGCUUUGGAUUUAACUGAUUUCGUGAUUCUCUAGUUGUUAAUUCCUAUCCCUAUGCUUUUGUUCUUGAAUCUACCUUGAAUUUCAAUUCUAUAUUGCAUGAUUAGCUUGUGUGCGCCCUUGCUAAAGGUUAA